rnacentral:rRNA from 1 species
CAGCAGCCGCGGAAAUACAGAGGGUGCAAGCGUUAAUCGGAAUUACUGGGCGUAAAGCGCACGCAGGCGGUCUGUCAAGUCAGAUGUGAAAUCCCCGGGCUUAACCUGGGAACUGCAUUUGAAACUGGCAGGCUAGAGUCUUGUAGAGGGGGGUAGAAUUCCAGGUGUAGCGGUGAAAUGCGUAGAGAUCUGGAGGAAUACCGGUGGCGAAGGCGGCCCCCUGGACAAAGACUGACGCUCAGGUGCGAAAGCGUGGGGAGCAAACAGGAUUAGAUACCCCUGUAGUCCCUGUCUCUUAUAA